GACGAACGCUGGCGGCGUGCUUAACACAUGCAAGUCGAACGAAGAGCGAUGGAAGCUUGCUUCUAUCAAUCUUAGUGGCGAACGGGUGAGUAACGCGUAAUCAACCUGCCCUUAAGAGGGGGACAACAGUUGGAAACGACUGCUAAUACCGCAUACGAUCUGACCUCGGCAUCGAGGAUAGAUGAAAGGUGGCCUCUACAUGUAAGCUAUCACUGAAGUAGGGGAUUGCGUCGGAUUAGCUAGGUGGAGGGGUAACGGCCCACCAAGGCGAUGAGCAGUAGCCGGUCUGAGAGGAUGAACGGCCACAUUGGGACGGGGACACGGCCCAGACUCCUACGGGAGGCAGCAGUGGGGAAUCUUCCGCAAUGGACGAAAGUCUGACGGAGCAACGCCGCGUGAGUGAUGACGGCCUUCGGGUUGUAAAGCUCUGUUAAUCGGGACGAAAGGCCUUUUUGCGAAUAGUGAGAAGGAUUGACGGUACCGGAAUAGAAAGCCACGGCUAACUACGUG
rnacentral:rRNA from 1 species